UUGUCUGGAGGAAGUGUGAUCAUUCUCUUUUAAAGAAAUCAAAAUUCUUCUUUUUUUUAAUAUCUUAUUACGAUAGUUUUCACAUCACUAAAUACGUAAUAAUAAUAUGGAAGGGAGCCAAUUUAAAAAUCCAGAAUAUUAACAAUUAUACAGCCUCCUUCGAGUAUGUUGUUAGGUCUCCAGGAGGAUAUCUAUCCUCUAGAUAUCCAAGUCCAAACGCAAAGCUACUUAGAUUCGGCUAUAUAUCAUUAUUCCCUCUCAAGAAAGAACAACACCGCUUCUCACACGUUAAACAUGUGCCUCUUUAAUAUUGAUAGUUUAUUCAGCCAAAAAAUAUAUAUUUAUAUAAAUUAUUUUAUUAUAUAACGGAAAAAUUAAAAAAAGGAAAAACACCCUCGUUGACGACACGAGGGAUCGAUAUUACCUUCUUAAAUGACAUACAAUUAGGACGGGAUGAGAUCGUACUGGACCGGGGUCCUCAAUAAAGACCGACAGAAUACUAGUCUAGUAUUCUAUAUGUCUCGUUCCCACCUUCUUCUCGUGUUCUUACUUUCGCGAUAUCUUAUGUUUUUACUUCAUUGAUAAAUGAAGAUUGUAUUAAAUAUAUGAAUUUAUUAAAUAUCAUUAAUUAUAUUGGAAAAUACAAUUAAACAAGUGACAUUUUUUUUUAUACGUAGAUAAAUUACCUAUAUUCCUAAUUAUUAUUUCCAUGCUCACCAUUCAAUUUUUAAACCCUUUUCACUCUUUAGUUUUCAUUUGAAUAAAAGUUCUUUUAUAUUUUUGUUAAUAUUAUCAUUUACUUCCGAAAAUAAAUUUUUUCCCAUGUACUUUAAACUAUGACUAAUAAUCAUAGUAAAAACAUUUGAUAACAUCCAAGCUUGUAGAUUGAAAAUGAGCAGUUUUUAAACUGAUUGGGCAAAAAAAUAAACGCCGUUCAUUUUUUAUGGUUUCUAAUGUAUAUUUUUUCUAAAUAUUACUACAAUGUUUUUUUUCUUGAUUAUGGGUAUAAUUAUUAUAAUCUUUCACCCCGCUUAUGAUAAAAUAAAUAUC
rnacentral:lncRNA from 1 species